rnacentral:rRNA from 1 species
CCUACGGGUGGCAGCAGUGGGGAAUAUUGGACAAUGGGGGGAACCCUGAUCCAGCCAUGCCGCGUGUGUGAAGAAGGCCCUCGGGUGGUAAAGCACUUUCAGUGAGGAAGAACGCCUGUUGGUUAAUACCCAUCAGGAAAGACAUCACUCACAGAAGAAGCACCGGCUAACUCCGUGCCAGCAGCCGCGUUAAUACGGAGGGUGCGAGCGUUAAUCGGAAUUACUGGGCGUAAAGCGCGCGUAGGUGGCUUGAUAAGCCGGUUGUGAAAGCCCCGGGCUCAACCUGGGAACGGCAUCCGGAACUGUCAAGCUAGAGUGCAGGAGAGGAAGGUAGAAUUCCCGGUGUAGCGGUGAAAUGCGUAGAGAUCGGGAGGAAUACCAGUGGCGAAGGCGGCCUUCUGGACUGACACUGACACUGAGGUGCGAAAGCGUGGGUAGCAAACAGGAUUAGAUACCCUUGUAGUC